UGAUCCGUUACUUUUUAAGUUGCUCGGGUUCGAUUAAAAUCUGGUUAUGGGUCAUAAAAUCUUGUUCAAGACCUAAUAUUUUCGGGUCGGGUUCGAGUCGGGUCAAUUUUUGACGGGUCUAGCGACUCCUGAGCGACUCUUUAUUUCUCUCCCCUCGCCGGAGACAACCACCAUUUCUCCACCAGAAAUCCACGGAACUCCUCUCCUUGUUUCUCUGCUCAAAAACCAAAGAAAAUCAGACGAUGGAGGUGGACGGUGGUGUGCGGCUGCUACAUCGAUCUUAACGCCGAUCUCUCUCCGUCCUCACACUCGCCAGUGAUCUAUCCUCCCCAGCCACCGGAUAUGUCAAGAAGCACCAUCGUUUCCGUUUCUCUGAGAUUAUGAGUGUCAAACAAAACUUGAAGCUACUUAUUCAAGUUGAAAGUGAUGAAUCUGCGGCCUAUAGGCGUGAGUGGAAACUUUUUGGAAAUCAACUGCUUGAAUCUGUGGGUUCCUCACAGGAAAGAUCACUUGAAAAAUUUCAGACAUGGAUUGUAUAUACAAACUUCAUCAACAAGCGAUUGCUUUUGCGUAACCAAAUUGUAAAUAUUCUAUGAAGCUGCAGAAGAAUUGACUGGUGAUGGGAAGCGCAGGCGAAGAUCUAGGUUAGUAGAGUCAGUUGACUUAAAUUCAGCAAGAUGACAUGAAUUCAAAGUACUCCCCUGUUUAAGAAUUAUUGUGGUGUCACACUGCUAGUAGCUUCCCAGUGAUGAUUUAUAUCUUUAGAUUAACAAAUAAUAACCAUUUAUUUUUGGAAAAAUUGAUUCUAAAAAAAUAACCUUUAAGCGAUCUGCUUAAAUAGGGCUGACUUUCCGUUUAACUAAGAAUAACACAACCUUUUGGACCUGUCUUAUUUUAAAAGGUUUCCCUCAUAAAUGACUUGCUACAAUAGGUAAUAUGAAAACCAACCUUACAAAAUAAACAUUUUUUCUUUAAAUAAUUAACAAGAAGAUUAAAAAAUAUUGUAGCAUAUUACCUAUUUUAGCAAGUUAUUACAGAGGGGAGCCUUUUAAAAGAAGAUAGGUCUAAAAGGUUGUGUUAUUCUUAGAUAAACAUAAAGUCAGCCAUUUUUAAGCAGAUCGCUUAAAGGUUGUAUUUUUAGAAUCAAUUUUUCGUAUAUUUUUUAUUUGUUUCAUUGAAAGUAACUUAUGUCGUUAAUGUAAUGUAAUUGUUUCACUGUAACUUCUUUUAAUAAUGAGUGUAGUUGUAUCCUUAAUUGUUUUGUUGUAAAUUCAGACUGA